CCUCCAAGGUCCUUUUCAACUCAAACAUUCUGUGAUUCUGCACAGAGAGGAGUCACAUGCGGUUCUGUGGGUGCACAGUCCCUUCAGCUUUCACAGGCUGGAGUCCUGCGGCCCAAGGCCUGGGCCAGAUGCUCAGGAGACACAGCCCUGUGAAGGAGGGCGUCCAGGUUGACAGCCCUCCGGCUGGCCACACUGCCCCAGCCUCCUGCUGCUUCUUCCCUGGACCCUGAGGCCUCUCCCUCCCAAAGCUGGACCGCUCCGCUCAGCAGCCUGCACCACCCUCUGUCACCCCACCGUACCCGGCCCUGGGCUCCUCUCUAGCGGGUGCGGAAGACAGCCGUGGAAGAGGCUGAAGAGUCUGCAGCCCUCAAAGACCUUUCCAGAUAUGACGGAUGCACCACGAGGCUGGUUUCUGGGAAAGGUGAAGGAGAGCAAGACAGGAGGAACGUGUCUGUCUUUGUCUCUGAAUCACCAGGGCAGAUGCUCCACCAAGCACAGAAGAGAGGUCAGCAGGCAGAACGUGGGGCCACAAGGCUUCUGAUCACUCUCUAGCCUUACAAAUGCAGGGUCCUGGGACCCCCCCCAGCGUUCUAGGUGGGGAGAGGGUCCAGCUCCCCCACCACAACGACUUCCUGAGCGCUGAUAGCCAAGAGGAGGCUGUGGUCCUGGGCCAAGGUGAGCAAGGGAGCUGUUGUGGGGACAGAUCUCUCCAGAAGCCCAGAAGCCCGAGUUAUUGUCCUGCACUGCGUUGGUGGGCCCUGAAUCUCGUAGCGGAAGGAGCACGGGACUUGAGAUCAGAUACACCUGGGUUUGAAGUCAGACUGCUAAUCACCAGUUGGUCUUGGCCCUUUCAGUAGCCGGCUCACCCUCUCUGGGCAAAUCCUCCCCUCCCCCUCCGUGGGACCAGAGCAGAUCCAACCUCAGGCUGCUGCCAUCUGCACAGGCACCUGGGGUAGAAUAUAUGCUGAAUUGUGUCUUAUGGAGAAUGAUCUGUGCCAAGGAAAUUGCAAGGCUGCAGGCAGAUCAUUCUUCAGGGGCUGCACCACCAUUCUUCACCAGAACCCAGAAACUUGUCAAUAAAACAGUUUGCAAAC